rnacentral:tRNA from 1 species
AUUUAUAUAGUUUAAAUAAAACUUUAUAUUUUCAAUAUAAUAUUAAGAGCACUUCUCUUUAUAAAUA